GGUAGAGAGAGCCCGAUCCCCGUGGGCGCGGUGCCAGCGGGCACCCCCAUGAGGAAAGUCCCCCCACCGUUCGGACAGGUGACCGGGCGCAAGCCCGGAGUCGGAGACGGCUGGCUCUGAAACAGCAACGAGACCCCCUGCCCCGACCGAUGAGACGCGCGAACCGACCCGUAAGGGAAGGGAGCUAACCCGUCGAGGGCUGCGGUGUCAACCGCGAAAACAGGCAGGAACGGAUGGAACGGUGAAUCCUCACCGGUGCAAGGUCGCGUCAGGCGGCCGGCGGCUCGCCGCUGGCUGCCGAGGUAGUCCGAACACGACGCGACUGCUCAGCCGAAUGUCGGGUCGAAACAGAAGGGGGCUUACUCCUCUCAACC
rnacentral:RNase_P_RNA from 1 species